AGCAGUGGGGAAUAUUGGACAAUGGGGGGAACCCUGAUCCAGCCAUGCCGCGUGGGUGAAGAAGGCCUUAUGGUUGUAAAGCACUUUAAGCGAGGAGGAGGCUACUAGUAUUAAUACUACUGGAUAGUGGACGUUACUCGCAGAAUAAGCACCGGCUAACUCUGUGCCAGCAGCCGCGGUAAUACAGAGGGUGCGAGCGUUAAUCGGAUUUACUGGGCGUAAAGCGUGCGUAGGCGGCCAUUUAAGUCAAAUGUGAAAUCCCCGAGCUUAACUUGGGAAUUGCAUUCGAUACUGGAUGGCUAGAGUAUGGGAGAGGAUGGUAGAAUUCCAGGUGUAGCGGUGAAAUGCGUAGAGAUCUGGAGGAAUACCGAUGGCGAAGGCAGCCAUCUGGCCUAAUACUGACGCUGAGGUACGAAAGCAUGGGGAGCAAACAGGAUUAGAUACCCUGGUAGUCCAUGCCGUAAACGAUGUCUACUACCCGUUGGGGCCUUUGAGGCUUUAGUGGCGCAGCUAACGCGAUAAGUAGACCGCCUGGGGAGUACGGUCGCAAGACUAAAACUCAAAUGAAUUGACGGGGGCCCGCACAAGCGGUGGAGCAUGUGGUUUAAUUCGAUGCAACGCGAAAAACCUUACCUGGCCUUGACAUACUAGAAACUUUCCAAAAAUGGAUUGGUGCCUUCGGGAAUCUAGAUACAGGUGCUGCAUGGCUGUCAUCAACUCCUGUCCUGAGAUGUUGGGUUAAGUCCCGCAACAAGCGCAACCCUUUUCCUUACUUGCCAGCAUUUCGGAUGGGAACUUUAAGGAUACUGCCAGUGACAAACUGGAGGAAGGCGGGGACGACGUCAAGUCAUCAUGGCCCUUACGGCCAGGGCUACACACGUGCUACAAUGGUCGGUACAAAGGGUUGCUACCUAGCGAUAGGAUGCUAAUCUCAAAAAGCCGAUCGUAGUCCGGAUUGGAGUCUGCAACUCGACUCCAUGAAGUCGGAAUCGCUAGUAAUCGCGGAUCAGAAUGCCGCGGUGAAUACGUUCCCGGGCCUUGUACACACCGCCCGUCACACCAUGGGAGUUUGUUGCACCAGAAGUAGGUAGUCUAACCGCAAG
rnacentral:rRNA from 1 species